GGCCGUUCCAGGGAGAUCCCCGGCAAGGGGCUGAGACACCGCUGGACUGCAGGCUCUUACGCCUCGGUCGGCGCGGAAAUCCUUCGAACCUGAUCCGGCUCAUACCGGCGUAGGGAUUGGACAGGCCCGUUCAG
rnacentral:ncRNA from 2 species